CUGUAGGAGUAAAAGGAACAAAACAACAUAAUUUCGAAACGAACGAUUUCGAAAUGUUGCAUCUCGCUCUGGCUUAUUGACAUCGAUUUUGUUUUGAGAAUUUGACAAUUAAAAAUCUGAUCGAAGCCUUUGCUGAUGUGCUCUCGUUGCACGAGAAUCCGGUUCAACAUUUCUUACGAUUUUCUGGUUUUCUUGAAGACUGCCUGAUCUGAUCCAGUGCGUGUGUUGGCCUAUUUGGAACAGAGCGUUUUUCCAAGAAGUGGUUCUUACCAGCACGGCUAACCUUGGCCUAAACCUUCCUCAGAAGUCUGGAUAAUAUUCGGAUUAGCUUGUAUGCGGCCCAGGAGACGUGCGUCAUCGACCCUUGAAGCACUUGAAGUAAUAGUUGCAUAGUGAGAGAUGUAUGCGAGGCAUUCAGAGUUUUUACUUGAAACGGACAGUUUCCAGUGUGCUGAUAUGAUUUUUCGAGAAAUAAUCUGUUCAGAUCACGACCGGGAAAUCCACUUUCACCAUUUAAAUAUGAGGACGAAGCUGACUCGGGUUAGGAGAGAAACCACCCG